rnacentral:rRNA from 1 species
UUAAGCGACUAAGCGUACACGGUGGAUGCCCUGGCAGUCAGAGGCGAUGAAGGACGUGCUAAUCUGCGAUAAGCGUCGGUAAGGUGAUAUGAACCGUUAUAACCGGCGAUUUCCGAAUGGGGAAACCCAGUGUGUUUCGACACACUAUCAUUAACUGAAUCCAUAGGUUAAUGAGGCGAACCGGGGGAACUGAAACAUCUAAGUACCCCGAGGAAAAGAAAUCAACCGAGAUUCCCCCAGUAGCGGCGAGCGAACGGGGAGCAGCCCAGAGCCUGAAUCAGUGUGUGUGUUAGUGGAAGCGUCUGGAAAGGCGCGCGAUACAGGGUGACAGCCCCGUACACAAAAAUGCACAUGCUGUGAGCUCGAUGAGUAGGGCGGGACACGUGGUAUCCUGUCUGAAUAUGGGGGGACCAUCCUCCAAGGCUAAAUACUCCUGACUGACCGAUAGUGAACCAGUACCGUGAGGGAAAGGCGAAAAGAACCCCGGCGAGGGGAGUGAAAAAGAACCUGAAACCGUGUACGUACAAGCAGUGGGAGCACGCUUCGGCGUGUGACUGCGUACCUUUUGUAUAAUGGGUCAGCGACUUAUAUUCUGUAGCAAGGUUAACCGAAUAGGGGAGCCGAAGGGAAACCGAGUCUUAACUGGGCGUUAAGUUGCAGGGUAUAGACCCGAAACCCGGUGAUCUAGCCAUGGGCAGGUUGAAGGUUGGGUAACACUAACUGGAGGACCGAACCGACUAAUGUUGAAAAAUUAGCGGAUGACUUGUGGCUGGGGGUGAAAGGCCAAUCAAACCGGGAGAUAGCUGGUUCUCCCCGAAAGCUAUUUAGGUAGCGCCUCGUGAAUUCAUCUCCGGGGGUAGAGCACUGUUUCGGCAAGGGGGUCAUCCCGACUUACCAACCCGAUGCAAACUGCGAAUACCGGAGAAUGUUAUCACGGGAGACACACGGCGGGUGCUAACGUCCGUCGUGAAGAGGGAAACAACCCAGACCGCCAGCUAAGGUCCCAAAGUCAUGGUUAAGUGGGAAACGAUGUGGGAAGGCCCAGACAGCCAGGAUGUUGGCUUAGAAGCAGCCAUCAUUUAAAGAAAGCGUAAUAGCUCACUGGUCGAGUCGGCCUGCGCGGAAGAUGUAACGGGGCUAAACCAUGCACCGAAGCUGCGGCAGCGACGCUGAUGCGUUGUUGGGUAGGGGAGCGUUCUGUAAGCCUGUGAAGGUGUGCUGUGAGGCAUGCUGGAGGUAUCAGAAGUGCGAAUGCUGACAUAAGUAACGAUAAAGCGGGUGAAAAGCCCGCUCGCCGGAAGACCAAGGGUUCCUGUCCAACGUUAAUCGGGGCAGGGUGAGUCGACCCCUAAGGCGAGGCCGAAAGGCGUAGUCGAUGGGAAACAGGUUAAUAUUCCUGUACUUGGUGUUACUGCGAAGGGGGGACGGAGAAGGCUAUGUUGGCCGGGCGACGGUUGUCCCGGUUUAAGCGUGUAGGCUGGUUUUCCAGGCAAAUCCGGAAAAUCAAGGCUGAGGCGUGAUGACGAGGCACUACGGUGCUGAAGCAACAAAUGCCCUGCUUCCAGGAAAAGCCUCUAAGCAUCAGGUAACAUCAAAUCGUACCCCAAACCGACACAGGUGGUCAGGUAGAGAAUACCAAGGCGCUUGAGAGAACUCGGGUGAAGGAACUAGGCAAAAUGGUGCCGUAACUUCGGGAGAAGGCACGCUGAUAUGUAGGUGAAGCGACUUGCUCGUGGAGCUGAAAUCAGUCGAAGAUACCAGCUGGCUGCAACUGUUUAUUAAAAACACAGCACUGUGCAAACACGAAAGUGGACGUAUACGGUGUGACGCCUGCCCGGUGCCGGAAGGUUAAUUGAUGGGGUUAGCGCAAGCGAAGCUCUUGAUCGAAGCCCCGGUAAACGGCGGCCGUAACUAUAACGGUCCUAAGGUAGCGAAAUUCCUUGUCGGGUAAGUUCCGACCUGCACGAAUGGCGUAAUGAUGGCCAGGCUGUCUCCACCCGAGACUCAGUGAAAUUGAACUCGCUGUGAAGAUGCAGUGUACCCGCGGCAAGACGGAAAGACCCCGUGAACCUUUACUAUAGCUUGACACUGAACAUUGAGCCUUGAUGUGUAGGAUAGGUGGGAGGCUUUGAAGUGUGGACGCCAGUCUGCAUGGAGCCGACCUUGAAAUACCACCCUUUAAUGUUUGAUGUUCUAACGUUGACCCGUAAUCCGGGUUGCGGACAGUGUCUGGUGGGUAGUUUGACUGGGGCGGUCUCCUCCUAAAGAGUAACGGAGGAGCACGAAGGUUGGCUAAUCCUGGUCGGACAUCAGGAGGUUAGUGCAAUGGCAUAAGCCAGCUUGACUGCGAGCGUGACGGCGCGAGCAGGUGCGAAAGCAGGUCAUAGUGAUCCGGUGGUUCUGAAUGGAAGGGCCAUCGCUCAACGGAUAAAAGGUACUCCGGGGAUAACAGGCUGAUACCGCCCAAGAGUUCAUAUCGACGGCGGUGUUUGGCACCUCGAUGUCGGCUCAUCACAUCCUGGGGCUGAAGUAGGUCCCAAGGGUAUGGCUGUUCGCCAUUUAAAGUGGUACGCGAGCUGGGUUUAGAACGUCGUGAGACAGUUCGGUCCCUAUCUGCCGUGGGCGCUGGAGAACUGAGGGGGGCUGCUCCUAGUACGAGAGGACCGGAGUGGACGCAUCACUGGUGUUCGGGUUGUCAUGCCAAUGGCACUGCCCGGUAGCUAAAUGCGGAAGAGAUAAGUGCUGAAAGCAUCUAAGCACGAAACUUGCCCCGAGAUGAGUUCUCCCUGACUCCUUGAGAGUCCUGAAGGAACGUUGAAGACGACGACGUUGAUAGGCCGGGUGUGUAAGCGCAGCGAUGCGUUGAGCUAACCGGUACUAAUGAACCGUGAGGCUUAACCUU